GGCUGAAAUCUCCUGAGGGGCCCACCUUGGCAUGGACCUGCCAGCUUCCGGAGCCUUCCGCCUCCACCUGUCCCCUCCUACAGAGGCCAGCACUGUGACACGUGGUCUUAUGUGCUGAUACCAGCAGCCCAGCCCGGGCAGUUCACUGUGGACCAUGGUGUGGACACACGAGCAGGCUGGCCAUCCUCAGGAUCAGCCUGCUGGGCAGGAGCUGGUUGCUGCCUCCCGGGACGCUGGACCAGUUCAUCUGCCUGGGCAGAGCUCAGGGCCUCUCGGAUGACAACAUUGUCUUCCCAGAUGUGACCGGAGGUGCCCUGGACCUUAGCAGCCUGCCCUGGGUGGCAGCCCCAGCCUUACUACUCAGAGAGCCCCGGCCCCCAAGGCCUGACUCUUCUUGUGGGAGGGCGAGGCUGGUCACCCCAGGCCAGUGUCUGUUGAAGGAUGAAGCAGCUCCUGUCCGGCCCAGCCCUGCCUCACAGCUGCGCGAGCUCUGCCCUCCUCAGCUCUCAAACCUGAAUAAAUGCACCAAGCCCAGA
rnacentral:sRNA from 1 species